GUUCCAGAAAAUGAGAAGGGAAAAAUCCUCCCCAAACCCCCUGCGAUUUUCUUCUACCCCUCAUUCCCCAUGACCACCACCCUAGCCAUCCUCCAAACCCCCCAGCCCGCAACCAAUCAGACUCCCUCCCCUUCUCCCCCGACUUCUUCUCCCCCGACUUCUUCUCCCCCUGCCCCGACCCCAAACUCCAGUCCCCACCUACCAACCUCAGCUUGCCAACCACUCUCUCUCCAUCCUCCAGAGCUCGUUCCCGCCGUCGCCCGACGCUUUUCGGCGAGAUCUGACGGUGGGUACAGAGCUACUAAGAGCAAUGGCGCCACCCAAGAGACCGCUAGCCAAUGCCCAAGUGAACUUUCUAGUCGUGCAGGUGGGUUCUUGAAAAUAAGCAGAAAGGCUUCUCUACCAUUUAUACCUGCCUCAAUCACACACACAAAUUCAUUAUAGCUGUACCCUAUGAACCAUACAUGGCUUUGAAACUAAUGCAAAUCGCUCCCCAUGAAGCCGAAAACCCAACGGAGCUCUCUCUAAGGCAAGCCUUUGAGCUUCUUGAACCAAAACUAAGACCCCCGUUUUCAUUAACAAUUCCAAAGCCACAAGAAUACUCGGUGCUCAACAAAGCGAUACUUUAUGGAGUUUUAUAUGAAUGCCAUGUCGGAAAAACACAUAUUAAGCACUUGCAUGCCAUUGUUACUGAUGGGUAUGGCUUGUUUGUUAGUUUCCUUACCAAGGUUGUGAAUGAAUUGUAUGUGAAACUUCUUGAACCACAGAAGUGCCAACUCGUUUGGGUUACUAAGGAGUUGAUUGAUGUUCUAGCAGUAGGCGUUGAUGGUUUGUUGGUUUGUUUGUUGAGGCAAAUUGUUGGUGGGGAUUUUAGUGAUGGAAAUUUGUGGCUGUGUUUUGAGAUGGUGAACAUACUUUUGACCAAAUGGGAUUGUCUUUUAGAAGUAGAAUCGAUGAUCUUGACGAGUGGGUUGUAUGCAUAUCUUCGGUUAUUAGCUGAUCACUGUAGGCAGUUAAGUAAUCCAAAAUUAGAGGCGUUAAAGCAAUUGGAGAUUGACUUUUGUAUUAAAGUUUUAAAGGAGCAGUUUCCUUUGUGUUUGAAGAUUGGCAGGGAUCUUGUUCGACUCCUACAAGAUUUGGUCCAUUUACCCAAAUUUAGAGCUAUAUGGAAGGAUUUAGUACUGAACCGGGGCGAGUUUAAGACUCUGGGAUUUUCUGGUAUUGCACAGCUCUAUAUCACAAGGACUCCAAGUCAGUAUAUGUUACUUCGGAUUACUCCAGAAAUGGAGGCGCAGUUGAGAUUUUUACUCACGCAUGUGAAGUUUGGGAGUCAUAAGCGUCACCAGGCAUGGUUUGCCAAGAAGUUUCUAUGUGAGCCAAACAGAGAGACUCUCAUAGUCGACAUUGUUCGUUUUAUAUGUUGUGCACACCACCCGCCAAAUGAAAUUAUUCAGUCAGAUGUCAUUCCAAGAUGGGCUGUUAUAGGUUGGCUGUUGAAAUCUUGUACGAAGAAUUAUGUUGAGGCUAAUGCGAAACUGGCUCUACUUUAUGAUUGGCUAUUCUUUGAAGAAAGAGUAGACAAUAUUAUGAAUAUUGAACCUGCAAUGCUGUUAAUGAAGGUUUUAUAAGUUUAAAGGCAGUGGAAGGUGUGACGACCACAGCUCUGCUCCUCCAUGUGCAGGGUUUGAUGAUUCACAGUCAUGGCUUUGCCUCUGAUUAGGUUGCUUCCCCACCGGUUCAACACCAUCAGGGCCUUUGUAAACACCAAGGUAAAAUGGGUCAGAGAUCCAUACUUGGACUACGCAGUUGAAAGAGAGAAAGACCUUAAACAAGUCAUUUCCUUCAAGAACCAAAUCAUCUCCAACCCUUCCAAGUCCCUCCCUCUCUCUGCAGCCUCUUUGCUCAAACCCCACCUCAACCUCCCUACCACAUCCACCAAAUUCUUCCAGAAAUACCCCUCAUUCUUCUCCAUAUUCCAGCCCUCCCCUGGUCUCCCACCCCAUGUCAAGCUCACUCCACAAACCCUCUUUCUCCACAAAAAGGAGUCAACCAUUCAUACCUCCAUGUCUAACAAAUACAACGCCACUGAACGACUUGCUAAGCUUUUGAUGCUCGCUGGAGUGACCAAAUUGCCCAUGCACCUGAUUAACAGGUUGAAAUGGGAUCUGGGUCUUCCUCAUAAUAUUGUGGGUACCCUUCUUGCUGAUUUUCCUGACUACUUUGAGGCUUGUGAAGUUGGGGAUGCAGUAACUGGUAAAGUAGAGAUUGCUUUGGGUCUUGUUUGUUGGAGAAAGGAGCUUGCUUUCUCUCAAUUGGAGAGAAGGCCAAUAAUGGGCUGUGCCCCGAAUGCAAAAUUAUCGAAGCACAUUGGGUUUCCAAUGAAUUUUCCCAAAGGGUUUGAUUUGGAGAAGAGGGUGAAGGAUUGGGUUGAGGAAUGGCAGGCAUUGCCAUACAUUUCGCCAUAUGAAAAUGCAACCCAUCUUUCACCAAAUAGCGAUCAGGCGGAGAAGUGGAUGGUGGCAAUGCUUCAUGAGGUUCUUUGGCUUAUGAUUUCCAAGAAGACGGAGAGGGAAAAUUUGUUUGUUUUGGGAGAGUAUUUGGGGUUCGAAAGGUCGAGGUUAAAAAAGGCUGUGGUGCAUCACCCAGGAAUAUUCUAUGUUUCAAAUAAAAUUAGGACACAAACUGUGGUCCUAAGGGAGGCAUAUAGGAAGGACUUCUUGAUUGAGAAGCACCCAUUAAUGGGUAUGCGGUAUCGAUACGUUCACCUAAUGAAUAAGAUGCAAAGAAGGGAUGAAGCGACUCUUGUUUCGCCUUCUGGUGGUUGAAAACAGAUUUCCAUCUGCUGAUGGUGGCGGUAUAGAAGAAGAACUAGGAGAGCAGAGUGGGAAUGGCUCUUCAGAUGCUGCGUUUUAAGAUUAUUGUAAUGCUGUGAUGAUAUGGAAAUAUGAGGGAGGUUGUAGGGAGAUUUGAUGUGAUCAGUAUAAUUCUUAGGAGGCUUGAUGUUUUGCUAAAGGCAACUGAGUAUUUUGAUUGAGAAGCCGAGUUAAUCUAUUAGAUAAUAUAUAGAAGUAAGAAAUGCUGAUCGGGAUCUCA